UACGAAGGGGGCUAGCGUUGCUCGGAAUUACUGGGCGUAAAGGGAGCGUAGGCGGACUGUUAAGUUAGAGGUGAAAGCCCAGGGCUCAACCUUGGAAUUGCCUUUGAUACUGGCAGUCUUGAGUACGGAAGAGGUAUGUGGAACUCCGAGUGUAGAGGUGAAAUUCGUAGAUAUUCGGAAGAACACCAGUGGCGAAGGCGACAUACUGGUCCGUUACUGACGCUGAGGCUCGAAAGCGUGGGGAGUAAACAGG
rnacentral:rRNA from 1 species